rnacentral:rRNA from 1 species
CGGGGAAUAUUGCACAAUGGGCGCAAGCCUGAUGCAGCAACGCCGCGUGGGGGAUGAAGGCUCUCGGGUCGUAAACCCCUUUCAGCAGGGACGAUUGUGACGGUACCUGCAGAAGAAGCCCCGGCCAACUACGUGCCAGCAGCCGCGGUAACACGUAGGGGGCGAGCGUUGUCCGGAUUUAUUGGGCGUAAAGAGCUCGUAGGCGGCUUGGUAAGUCGAGUGUGAAAUCCCCGGGCUCAACCCGGGGCGGCCAUUCGAUACUGCUAUGGCUAGAGUCCGGUAGGGGAGCGUGGAAUUCCUGGUGUAGCGGUGAAAUGCGCAGAUAUCAGGAGGAACACCAGCGGCGAAGGCGGCGCUCUGGGCCGGAACUGACGCUGAGGAGCGAAAGCGUGGGGAGCAAACAG